AAAUUACAGGUUUUAAUUGUUUAGAUUUGAAAAAAUACAGUACGAAAAAUACAGCAAUAUACACACAUAAAUUCACCAUUUUGUGUAGGCUCUUAAGUCUCAACUAACUACAUAGUACAAUCAAACAUCCAUUCCAAUCUUAGAAUCAAUUAUAGGACAGAUCCUAGGAAUCUGUUUUA